rnacentral:lncRNA from 1 species
AAAAAUCAUGGGGAAACAUGAACCCAAUUCCCGCCCUCAAUUCCAAACCUAGCUGUAUAAAUAAAAUUUCUCCCAAUUCCAGAAGCCAUACGCCAUAUCUAUUUUAGGCUGCAGAUCCGGGAACCUGAGAAUUCGCCAUUGGGAGAAGCAACCUUUUUCUUCAACAAUUUUAUUGUUUCCACGCUCAUGACGGUGUUUUGCUUCAAAUAUCCAGAUUUGAUAGGUCUGUGUAUUGUAGGGGGGAAUUGUUUAUUAAUAUGCUAUUGUAGUGUUAUAUAAUUACAGAAGUUUAUUUAUUUAAAUUGUUUGAAAUACCCGUUUGUUUUCAUUGGAUUUCCUAAGAUUUUAAAUUGUUUGAAAUACCCGUUAUAUUUUGAUUCUUUGUUUAACAUGUGGCUCUGGGGUUUAAUUGAUAUUUGAAAGCCUUUGUGUAUGUCUGAUGUGGAGGUCAGUCGAAAUUUGAACUGUGAUAACUUAUAUUGCCAAAAAUCAUGUCGUAAUCUGAGUCGAGAUUCUGGCGAGGUGAUACCUCCUGCUGUGCAUUUAAAAUCACAUAUCAGCAUAUAAAGUUUUCCAAAUUCAAAUCACAUAAAAAAUUUAAUCUUGAUAUAUAUAUAUAUCUUGAGAGAGAAAAGAUGGAAGGAAUGAUUUUGCUUUGUGCCUAAUGUCAACUAAAGCUCUUGAUCGGGCGCUUCUACCCUCAUACCUAGGUCAGAUAGGGAUCUUUCUGUUCACAAGUAGUUUUGUUGGUUGGUUAAUUGGGCUCAUUUUAUUCAUGAAAUGGCUUCAUCCAACCAAAGAUGUACGUUAUUCAUUUCGGUAGUCAAAUUUUUUUUUUUUUUUUUUUCCAUAUGUUCUUAUGUCUAGUUUUGACAGCUAUAUAAUAUAUUGUAAUUGUUUGUUCCUUUUUUAAGACAUUUGAAAAUAAGGGUUCGGAGGUUAGGUUUUUACGGAGUUUCUGGACCUCGACAUCUCUAAAAUACUCUGAUGGGAAGAUUUAAGCCAGGCCGUCAGCCUUCAUGUUUGGGUUCUUUCAGCUUGUGGUGUUAUUGUGGGGUUCUGAGGGGAAGAAGAGCUCAGCGAUGCUGUCCUCCCUUGGCCAAUCCUUGCGACUGAAUACUACUUGUAUGACAACUGGAGGGUAAUUUUACCUGUAGAGUUCGUCAGAAAGGUUAGAUAGAGAAAUUUAAGGAGACUAGAACCUAAGGAGAAGGAUGAUGGUGAGCACACUGAGCUGGAGGACACAAAGGAUGAAGAAGGCAAUGACACGCAUUCAAAAUUUGCUGGUAAAAAGAAAGGAAAGGCCAAGAAAGAUGGAAGCAAUAAUGCAUUGAGUGCUUCAAGUUUUGGUUUGCUUGGAGAAGGAGAUGAGGAUAAUGAAGAUUCAGGAAUAACAAAGAGAAUGUUGAUUAUGAAAAAUCAGGAUAAUGAAGUAGCAGGUUUUGCACCUUGUGAGAAGCAAAUUACUGUUCUUCUUAAAGUUGGAAAGGACGAGAGAGCACUGAAAGUGGCGAAGAGGAAGUUGGGCACCCACAAGAGAGCAAAGAAGCGUGAAGAGAUGGCAUUUGUUCUCCGGAAGAUGAGGUGAAUGCCAGUAAUAUACAGGAGGUGAAUGCCAGUAAUAUAAAGUGUUAAUAUAAACAUACUAAAUUGUACAAUACUGAAGUUUUUGCAUGCGUUGUUUCAAUGGACUUGAGCACUUCUGUUGCUUAUUGGAUAUCUAGUUUUAUAAUUCUUGAUUUUUUUCGUCUGUAUUUUGGCAAUAAAUAGUUAAAUUCAUCCCUUUGCUGUGUGCGUGCUCACAAAUUGUUUUAAUUUGAACCAUACAGGGCUGCUGGAGGUGGAGAAAAGAACUAAGUAAACUGCUGCACUUGGAUUUCUCGUUUUGAUUUGAUCAUUUGGAGAAGCUUUCAUUGAAGGUUUUGCUAAACAUUUUGGUCAUGUGGGCUUAUAAUUGUGAUUAUGAAAUGUAGUGAGUCGUACACUUAGCCCCCGUUUGGCCCCCAUUCUCCCUUUCAUUAUUUUUCUCUCUUUUAUUUUCAACCAUACAAUUUUUAAUAAAAUAAUGUUACAUGCAAAUAAAAAACUUUUCAUUCCUUUUUAACCUCAUAUUUUUCAAAAAAUAUUAUUCCAACCAUUAAAAUUUGAAAAGAAUGGAGCCAAAUUGGGGCUUAAUUUGAAAAGACACAGGAAUGGAGUACUCCGUGUUCAAUUUGGAGCUUCAAUUGAUUUCCAUUUCCUUUACCAUUUUAUUGCAUCGACUUAACUUAUUUGAUUUGAAAAUUAUGAGUUUCUACCAAUUGAUUUAAUUGAUAGUUAAAAAUCAUUCUUUUCUUUGAUUGAAAAAUAAAUGAUGUCAAUGUAAUUUUUGGAGGAAAAUAAUCGUACAUUUCCC